rnacentral:tRNA from 1 species
CAGCCCCGAGGUGCGGGACGACCGCGCGGUAUUGCUGCGCCAGGCGGCGGUCGCCUAUGACCGGGCGUUCAACCCGGACGGGGCCAA